GUUAGUGGCUGUACUAUGAAGCUAGCUGAGAGGGAAUAAAUUCAAAGAUGAUAGAUCAGACCUGAGGUGUGGUGUUGUCUGCCAGAAAGCCUGCUCGCAACCAUGCUUUACUACAGAGAAGAGAUGCCUUUGUAUCUGCACUGAGUGUCAUGAGAGAAUAACCCUAGUUGCGUGACUAGAAGAUGUUUAAAAACAACACCAGUAGACAGCCUGGAAGAUAUUUUUGCUUGGAUUUUAGCUGCUGAUAUUGACGUGACAGCAUUCCAGCCAUUUAAGAAAGAAGUAUGUAGGUGUUCGUGUCCUAUGCAAAUUUGAACAUGCGAUGUGUCCACUCAUUAAAGGCAUGGCUUGCUGAAGUCUAGAAGGUGGACGUGGAUGGCUGAAUGGAAACAAAAUGCAUCUUUUGUGUUAACAUUCAAUGGAAGUGUUUGCUCCAUUCACUGAGGCUUUCUGUUGCAGCAAAUUGUUUAAACUAGGAACUGCCUGCUUCCGUUUCUGAUGUCCAAAACCAGAUGGAGUUUCCUUGGAGGAAGAAGGGCUGCAAGAAUUUAAUCAUUUCAAUAGUAUCUGGCAUGCACCAAUGCACAUCUUAUUUGUGUUCUGCAACAGAAAAGGAAAAGAAGAAGAUAUAGGCUGCUCCUUUGUUUUAAAAGGCAUAGUAUCUGUUGUAUGUAAUUAUUUCAUCAGCCACUAACAAUGCAUCCUGUGUAAGAAGAGGAAGAAAUGGGGGAAGAUAAGCUCUAGGUCAAAAAGGAAAGAAGGAUAUCCUAAAGAAGCUUAGCCUUUUGCUUCCCUUUUCCCUCUCUCUGAAAAUCAUCCCAAGCCCUAAGAGAGUAAAUGUGUUUUAUUCUAAUCUUACCAUUUGUGUCGUGAGCUGCCUGUAUUACCUGGUUUCUGCAUGAAAGCCGAGUCCAGUUUAACUGAAGGAAAUCUGGGGAGAAUACCGUGCUGCGGAUCUGAUCGUGGUGUUUGUUUGUACUAAUGGCAACAAUGUGUAAUUGUAGUUAUCCUAUUAAAUUAAUUUAGCUUUGAGGCUUACAAAACAAUCUAUAGUGUGUCUGAAGAAUGACAAUGCAGUUACAGACUGAGCUGUUCAGUAUGCCCAUUUACAAAGUGUACUUCUAGACAAAUACAAGUAUUUCCCAUUGAGAACAAAUAAAAGUGGAAAGCUGUUCUCUCCAUGUUUAUAUUUUGUUUAUGCUGUUGUAUCCCUUUGCUUACCCAUUUGGUCACUUCUUGACAGCUUGACUGAUUCCUUUCUUUUUCAGUCACAUUUGGAUUUAAGUGGUGACAAUUAGAUUUUUUUUGUAGACUUUGAAUAUCAAACAAAUGGAAUCUUUCAACUGUCUUCAGAUUUGCAUUAGCUUUUAGAAACAAACGACAUCCAUAGUCUUUUGGCAGCUCUAACGUAUGGUAUAUAUAGAUUAAAUAUGUGGUGCAGGGAUUUUCAAAACUGAGAAAAAAGACGGUCCAGUCAGGUUGCUUCAUCUAGGAUGCCAGGUGCUCUGAGUACACCCACUUUUGGGGCUCAAAUCUCAAAACACUUUUGAGUCACAGUUCUCUGAAAGUCUGAAUUUUGUGUAACCACCAGUUGUGCUUCAAAAUUGCUAAAAAUGAUUCAGUGAGGUGGGAGAAGUGAAGAUGCAGCUUGAACUGUGGCAAAAUCACAAGGCAGUGAAAAUCUUUGAAGAGAAGGGUCAGUUUGCUCUGUAACUGGGACUCCAGUCAUUGAAACAGUGGAUUUAGGUUGUCUUUAAAACUAGAAUGUAUGUCUGAAAGCUAAAAUUAAGUCACUUUUUUCCACUAACUCUUUAAGAAUUCAUAGUAACUUUUGGUAGAUAGUGAAUUAGGUUCUGGUGAGUGGGGGGUUUCUAUGGUUCACCUGAGUUCAGCGCAUCUGCGUUACAAGACAGAGUAGAACUUGGAUUUCAUUUUUCCUCUGUUCUUGUGCCAUUGCCGCCGCAAAAAAGCGGUGCUGGUGCUAGAAAUGUGUAUGUCUAUCUUAAUGGUAUGUCUGUCUUUAUGUCGCAUGACUUCUCGCGAUCAAUUUUGAAAUAAGCUGAUGUUUUGAGAGAUCUUCCCUUGAUAAUUGCUGAUGAAAUUGCCAACUUAAUCCUCUCCCAUGUGUUAGGUAUCUACAAUUUUUAACUUGUUUACUAUUUUAGAAUGUGCUUUUAAACCUUUACUUAAAAAGUAGGCUUGGGUUGUUCAUGGAGUUAAGUUGUAUCUUUCAAUGUGUACCUGUCACGACUCAUUUUUGCAGCUGCUUUCCCAGCGAUGCUGUAAUUCUGAAUGUGUUGCAUGUUCAGCAUCCCUUGCCAUCUCUGCUUCUGUUACUGAAAACAAAACUUGUCCUGUUACAGAUUGUCACGGCAGUGAAAGAAAGAACAGACUUCUACUAUCACAAGAAAUAACAAGCAACAUUUUUUCCAAAAAUAUUUACUAUUUGAUGUAAGCAGAUUAUUGUACUUGUAAACUGUCGGAAUUGAGUGAAAGUUGGAAGUGUUAGGUCUUUUAAAUAAAAGCUAGUCUAUUUGUUAGUUUUUUGCAAUUGUACUGCUCACAGGCCUGAGGACUUCUUAACUACAUCGGAACUUGUUUCUUUUUGAGGAUGGUGAAAUAUGUCCAAUCUCUUCAUUCAGAUCACUUUACUCUGCUACAGUUUGAAUCAUUGGGAGUGUCAGAGCUUUCACUCUUCUACACUUGGAUUACCGCCCUGUCAUCUAGAUCUCGGAUUACUAGAUGGUUGUAGCUGAACACCUUUUCCAAACGUGGGAAGUGUUGACCUGAAGUGUCUUGGAGAUAAGGACAUUGUAAUAAUAAUUUCUUCCAUGGAGGACUGAUGGAGUAAAAUAAAAUCUGUAAGAACAAGUCACUUGAACUUUAUCUUUGUACGUAGGAGGAAAAUACACUUUUACUGAACAUAAGUAUACCUAAUUAAACUUGUCGUAAGUAUACCUAAUUAAAAAUUUGAUGGUGCUUUCA